GCUGCCUGGGAAUCACGCUCCUUCCUGCUCUUUCCAAAAAGCCAGGUGCCGCCGGCCAGCAUCCCGCUCCCUUUGACCCGCAGUCUGUGCGGGAAGUAGGCCCGGAGUGGUGCCAGCAGGAGGUGGCCUUAGAAAGGCGGAGACCCAAGGAGCAGAGUGAGUCGGCGUCCAGCUCCACCUGAAAGCGCCAUCUUGUCGCCACUUCCCUCAGGAGCAGCAUGCCCAGCCUCUUGCAUAGGAAGAAGUGGUAAGCUAAGGAGAGAAAUGCAGGGUUCCUAGUACACCAAUUUUCCAACUUUUUCAUCUUGGCCCUGCUUUAAAAUGAUGCAUCUACUGUCUUCAUGCCUCAGCACAGCAGAGAAAACCAUGCUGUGUUCCAGUUUACUUUGAAUGUUUCAGUGAAAAUGAUGAAGCUGAAAAAAUGACGGAGGCCCGUUUUACAUUGCAUUUCUCAGAGUCAUCGCCUCUGCUGCAGAUGGAACAACAGCCAUGGAGAAUGAGGGUCACCUGAAUGUGGAAAAGUUGAGUUGGAGCAAAACUGGCACGGCCAUACUGGAUGGACCUCAGCAUGACCAGGACACAUUUCAGCUCAAAUCCCCUGUGCCAAGAACACAUUCUGCCAAGGACCACCACCUCUUCCCACAACUAGAGCUGGCUUACCAGAGCACCGAUGGACUUGGAUACCUGAGAUAUCUGCUUGGGAUCCCACACUUUCAAGGUCUCUCCUCUGGCCUUCUUCUGGUUCUGCGACUCCUUACAGCGCUGGGAGUUGGUGAUGCCAACAGGACAUACGCUCCCAGAGCCUACCUCUCCCAGAUCACUUUAAAAGGCACCCAGGACCCCAGAAUUCUCAUCCUCAAAGGCAUGGAGCUCAGCUCUUGGCCCUCAACAAAUCUCUUCCCCAUAAAGAUCCUUUUGAGAGCUUAGGAUGUCCCCCGGAUGGUUUUGGUUGCAGAUUGUGGUGGUGGAGGGAGCUAUACAAUUUAAUCUAUUGCCAUUAAUUGGAUGCGCUAAUGGCAGAUUGGGUAGUGAUAAUGCCAUAAGAGGUAGUGUGUGAGCCGUGUGCUGCAUCUGUGCUAGCUCAGGUAAGUCAGCACACAGCACCUGCAGCCUCCUCUCACCUCUUCCCUGAGCAGCACCUUUUCACCUGAACAUGCUGAUCCCCUAGUGCUUCAUCUUGACAGCAACUUAACAAGCCCUGGGCAGCUUUUUAAAAUAAAUGACUAUGAUAUUGACUAUGAAUCUACAUAAAAGCCACUUGUUUUUUAGUCAUAAUCUGUGUCUAACUGCAGAAGAAAUUCACACCUUUGAAAAACAAAUAAAAAUGUAAAAAGUGAAAA
rnacentral:lncRNA from 1 species